rnacentral:rRNA from 1 species
AUGGGCGCGGGUGCAGCGGGGCUGGACGUGGCGGGGGCCGUGCCCGCCAAGCGGAGGCGGGCGCUGGCGGCCAAGACCAGAGGGGGCAGGCCGCGGCAAGCGAGGAGGCGCGCGCAGCGGCCGACGGCGCUGCAGCGGCUCUUCCGGGCCUGCCGCGCCGUCUUCAAGGGCCCCGGCACCGUGCCCGCGCCCCCCAAGGUCGCCCUGCUCCGGGCCAUGCUCGACAGAAUGAGGCUUGAGGACGUUGGCCUGAGCCCACACAGGUUCAUCAGGACUAGGGAUAAUGCGGCCCAAGGGAACCUAACCAUCACACAGCGUAUCAUAUAA